rnacentral:tRNA from 1 species
CAGAUUAUGCCUAGGGCAAAUUGUUAUUUACAUUAAUGAUUUAUUUGUGCAAUUCAAAUUGAUCUGA